ensembl:lncRNA
UUCAAAAAUCACAAAAGCAGUGGUGAAGAUUAUCUUGCUGAAGGAAACGUGUAAGUAUCACAAAAUGUUUGUUUGCCACAGAGAUUAUUUUCUGCAAUAAUCCAAAAUAUAAUGGAACAAUCCCAUUGGCUCUUUGUCGAGGGAACCAACCUGGAAGAUCGGCCUGCAAAACAUCCCUGCAGCACUAAAUAAAGUCAGGCAAUAAUUGGCCUUUUCCCAUCUUUCUGUGAGCAACCAUGAUCCAUCAGAUCAUUAUGCUGCACGUGACAUGAGUCUGCAAACAUCAAGGUGAAAGUAUUUGGCUUCCUCAGCUCACUGUGGCCGCUCCUGACUCUUCCAUUGACCCUGCCAUAUUUAAAAAGUCUUGUUUUGUAGACACAUGUUUGAUUGAUAGCGGUCAGUGUCCCGACAAACACAUUGCAUUUCCUGUGACUACUUCAUGCUUGUAUUGUGAAGCUGCAUUGUUACAGAGUGUUACAUCAGCAGUAACUUCAUUUAAAAGAAUUUAAGAGUAAAGUCUUCCACUUCCUGUCUUCUCUUUACCUCUCAGGUGAACGAGUUCUCCGUCGAACCUCCUGGUCACUCGGACGAUGAGUAUGAAGUUAUGGAGCAAGCUCAUCCUGCAGAGCUGCAGACAGACCUGCAGCCGGGCCCGGCAACACAAACCCAGAGCCAGUUAAACCCACACAGGCCGCUCAGCCUCGACUUUACACAACCGACACACUAAAUCCCUCAGCCUGCCUUACCUGACCUCCCCCAUCCUCGUAUCGGAGGACUCCUGCUCUGAAGAGGAGGCCGCAGCGGACGACAGUGAUGAUAACGAUUACAGUAGUGAUGACGACGAGAACAUGUUUGUUAAAAGCCUUCCGGCUGAUUUCUUUUUAAACAAUUUGCCCUUUGAAACAAUCACUGAUACACAGAGAGGUUGCACUCUCGAUGGAGCUCGUCGAUCACAGAGCUCUGAGAACGGACCGCUUGGAUUCUCUGCAUGUGAAGACUCAACUGCUGGAGCUGUGGAGCAGGUGGACGGGAAAGACGAAGGAAAGGAGAUCACACAGAAGGACGAGGAAGAUCACCGGGGACGAGAGCGACUGGAAAACAAUAGGCAAAGCGAAGCGACCGAGGAAGAUGUCAUGAAGGAUACUGAAAGUGACAAAGAACAACCUCUCACUGCAGAGGCAUUGACACACUGCUGCUUUGACUUUCCACCGCCCAGCGACGAUGACUCGUGCGAUGUGGCCGACAUGAAGGUCGGGGAGGAGGCGGACAUGUUUGACGAUCUUCCCAGUGAUUAUCCACCUUGUCAUGAAGUUCCUUGUGCAACACAAAAAGAAACCGAUGACGUUUCUUCAGAGGAGUUCAGAGACAUUUCUGCGAGGGCAACAGAGCAGCCGACGAAGGAGAGAGACCGUGAUGAGGGAGAGGACAGGGAGGUGUGCAAAGAGACGGAGGACACAUGUAUAAAAGAAAGGGAUGAGAACAUGUGGGAAGAAACCACUGAGGAGGGCAAUGAAGUGAUGGCUGAAGAAGCACAUCGAGAACAGACGCAGCGAGGUGGAGGAGAGCAGAAGAGUGCAAUUUGUGAGACAAGCAGGGACAUUUGGGUUGAACUUGAAGAUGGUUCAUGUGAAGUUAUAGAGGAUGAGGAAGGAAAGCAGGCCGAGAAAAAGGAUGCAAGCGAUGGAGUUGCUGGGGAGGGAGAUGCGAUGGAAGAUGUUGAAGUUGGAAAGGAGGAAGAGCAGGUAGCGAAGAUUUCAGGAGAGCAAAUGGUGGAAGUUGACAAAGGAAACACAAACGAGACAGAAGUUAGAGUGGAGGUGUUGGAGGCGACUGAAGGAAAGCUCACAGAUCCAGAGAGGCGGCAAGAGUUUGAGGAAAAAGAGACAAACUUACCAAAGACAAGUGAACUAGAAGAAGCAACUCAAGGGAAGCAUGCCGUCAAUACCAAAGCACAGCACCACGAGAGAGAAGAAGAGGCUUCAGGAGAGAAAGAAAAGGAGAACACUGACAAAGAGAGAGCCGAUGAGCGACGUCAAGCGCAGCCCGGUGCAGAUAAACAGCGUGAAGAGGUCAGGUGUGAGAGGGACGAAUCGAAAGAGGGCAGCGGCCAAGGAGGAGUAGGAAGGAAGCUGGUCACCUCCAAACACCUGAGGGUUUACCAAGUAAGAGCGGUGCCGGUCGUGCCUCCGAAGCCGCAGCACUGCAAGAUCACCGCUCUGUCAAUCCGCCAGCAUCAGCAGCAGAGAGAGAGAAGAGACGCCGACAGAGGGGGGGGAGACACGCCGAGGGUCCCGACGGAGCAGGACGUGGUCCACGCCGGAGACGGAGAGAGGGAGAAGAGGAGGGAUGGGGACGAAAGUGCCACAAGAGACACGAGCAGAAACAGUCCGAUCAGCAUGUGUUUUGAUGAGGCUGUUGCCAUAGCAACCCUCAGGCGAGGAAAAGAGAAGGAUUGCGAGAAGGAGAAGGAGAGGCAGAGGGACCGGGGCAAUGAAGUCCAGUGAAGGUUGUCUGUAUAGUGAUUUGACUGUACAAACUAUUUUUUCUACGUGCAGCAUGAAAGGGCUGUGUUAUUGUAAGUCUGCUGAAGAUGUUUAGAUGGUUUAUCCAACACGCACACACUUGAUGCGCAGUCAGGUUUUUAAAAAAUAUUUUUCAGAGGAGGAUUUAUUUCCCUUUAUUAGUCAGAUAACCGUAAAGAGCUGAGCAAAUGAAACGGGGAGACUGGGACCAGGGACGACGCAAUUACACCCCAUCAGGAAGCUUAUAAAUGAAUAGCUGUAGUUGUGCUGCCUCCCAGAGGUGGGAUUAAAGGUGUAGUGCUGCUGAAACAUGUUGAGGAUUAAACAUUACAUGCAUAACCCAGAACUUUAAAAGUACAAAUGAAAGCGAUUAACUCCAGCUCACUCUCGUUUGCACUCGUCGUCUAAUUAUGCAAUACUUUGUAAUUGUAUACAGUGCAUGUGUAAUUAAACGGCUGGCAAGUGUAUGGUUAAAGAUUCAGAAGAGCGGGGAUGUUGAAUCGAAUCAUUCAUGGGAAUUAUAAUAUCUGCAAAACACAUUUUGGAUUAUGUGAAUAAAAAGAUGUUUCCAAGAUGUCUGUCAUUCUUAUUAUUUGAACAAGUAUCACAUAUAGAACAAAAGUGACAGUCAAGACAUCAAUUGCCUUAUUAUUAUAUUAAUAUAUUACUGACU